rnacentral:rRNA from 1 species
UACGAAGGGUGCUAGCGUUGUUCGGAAUCACUGGGCGUAAAGCGCGCGUAGGCGGCUUAGCAAGUCAGGGGUGAAAUCCCACAGCCUAACUGUGGAACUGCCUUUGAAACUGCUAAGCUAGAGUGUCGGAGGGGAUGGCGGAAUUCCUAAUGUAGAGGUGAAAUUCGUAGAUAUUAGGAGGAACACCGGUGGCGAAGGCGGCCAUCUGGACGACAACUGACGCUGAGGCGCGAAAGCGUGGGGAUCAAACAGG